rnacentral:rRNA from 1 species
CCUACGGGAGGCAGCAGUCGAGAAUCAUUCACAAUGGGGGAAACCCUGAUGGUGCGACGCCGCGUGGGGGAAUGAAGGUCUUCGGAUUGUAAACCCCUGUCAUGUGGGAGCAAAUUAAAAAGAUAGUACCACAAGAGGAAGAGACGGCUAACUCUGUGCCAGCAGCCGCGGUAAUACAGAGGUCUCAAGCGUUGUUCGGAAUCACUGGGCGUAAAGCGUGCGUAGGCUGUUUCGUAAGUCGUGUGUGAAAGGCGCGGGCUCAACCCGCGGACGGCACAUGAUACUGCGAGACUAGAGUAGUGGAGGGGGAACCGGAAUUCGCGGUGUAGCAGUGAAAUGCGUAGAUAUCGAGAGGAACACUCGUGGCGAAGGCGGGUUCCUGGACAUUAACUGACGCUGAGGCACGAAGGCCAGGGGAGCGAAAGGGAUUAGAUACCCUAGUAGUC